rnacentral:tRNA from 1 species
GAUUGUAGCUCAGUGGUAAAGCACUUGCCCUAUAUGCGUGAGGCCCUGAGUUUGAUCCUCAACAACGCA